rnacentral:lncRNA from 12 species
UUUAGAACUAAAUCUAUUAUCUUUAUUUUCAGCACCAUGGUGUCCCUUCUUUCAGUGGAAAUUUGUCUUCAAAGAAUUUCCAUUUUCAACAUCAUUUCCCCAUAAGUGAUGCAGCUCCUCGAAAUCUACAAAUUCAGCAUGAGGCUCUUACAAAUAGUAAAGGAUGUUGGCUUAUGGUAGAGGCUCCUCCUGAGACUACAGAAGAGGUAUGUUCAAGUGAAAGGUGGGAAAAUUGCAGAUGUCUCAGAAAGUUAAGGGAAUGUUACAAUUGGAAUAGGUAGAGAAAACAUGAGUGUAAUAAUAAGAAAAAAAAUCUUGAGGUUUUAUGGCUGGCAACUAAAAAUAAGUUCUGAGAAACCAAACAUACUGACCUAACUAACAAAGAAGAAAAACUUACCUGUUCAGGUAAAGAUGUCUUUAGUGUGACUUUAUACACUCUAUAUUAAAUCAAUUUAAACAGUAUUAACUGGGCAAUAAAACAAUACCAAAAUUAUGAUAAGGUCUGGUA